UACAGAGGUGGCAAGCGUUGUUCGGAAUUACUGGGCGUAAAGGGCGCGUAGGCGGCCUUCUAAGUCAGACGUGAAAUCCCCCGGCUUAACCUGGGAACUGCGUCUGAUACUGGGAGGCUUGAGUAUGGGAGAGGGAUGUAGAAUUCCAGGUGUAGCGGUGAAAUGCGUAGAUAUCCGGAGGAAUACCGGUGGCGAAGGCGGCAUCCUGGACCAUUACUGACGCUGAGGCGCGAAAGCUAGGGGAGCAAACGGG
rnacentral:rRNA from 1 species